CCGCCGCUGGCCAAGGGGCUGUCGUUCGACUUCUACAGCGCCAAGUGCCCGCAGGCGGAGGCCAUCGUCUUCUCCUUCCUCAAGGACGCCAUCCGCAAGGACGUCGGCCUCGCCGCCGCGCUCCUCCGCAUCCACUUCCACGACUGCUUCGUGCAGGGCUGCGACGGCUCCGUGCUCCUCGACAAGACCAACGGCGUCGACAGCGAGAAGGUGUCUCCCCCGAACGUCACGCUCCGUCCGUCGGCGUUCAAAGCCAUCAACGACAUCCGCGCCCUGCUCCAGAGGGCGUGCGGCGGGCCCGUGGUCUCGUGCGCCGACAUCGCGGCCCUCGCCGCGCGCGACUCCGUCCACCUGGCCGGCGGUCCGCGGUACGCCGUCCCGCUCGGCCGCCGCGACGGGCUCGCCCCCGCGUCCCUGGAGACCAUCUUGGGCGCGCUCCCGCCGCCGACCUCCAAGGUCCCCGUGCUCCUCAGCUUCCUCGCAAAGAUCGGCCUGGACGCCGACGACCUGGUGGCGCUGUCCGGGGCGCACACGCUGGGGAUCGCGCACUGCGGCUCCUUCGAGGAGCGGCUGUUCCCCAAGGAGGACACCACCAUGAACAAGUGGUUCGCCGGCCACCUGAAGCUCACCUGCCCGCGACUCAAGGUGGACAACUUCACCGCCAACGACAUCCGCACGCCCGACGUGUUCGACAACAAGUACUACUUGGACCUUCUGAACCGGCAGGGCCUCUUCACCUCCGACCAAGACCUGCACACCGACGCCGGGACCAAGCCCGUGGUCACCAGGUUCGCCGUCGACCAGGGCGCCUUCUUCGACCAGUUCGUCAGGUCCAUGGUGAAGAUGGGGCAGAUCAACGUGCUCACCGGCAACCAGGGCCAGAUCCGCACGGACUGCUCCCUGCCCAACGCUGCCCGCAGCGCCGGUGACGAGCUGCCCUGGUCUGUUGUCGAGGCCGUCGAGAGCUUCGUGUUGUAG
rnacentral:rRNA from 1 species